rnacentral:rRNA from 1 species
GCGCAGCAGGCGCGAAACUUCGCAAUGCGCGAAAGCGCGACGAGGGGAUUCCAAGUGCAUGCACUAAGUGUAUGCUUUUCGCGAGUUUAAAACGCUCACGGAAUAAGGGCCGGGUAAGACUGGUGCCAGCCGCCGCGGUAAUACCAGCGGCCCUAGUGGUGAUCGUUAUUAUUGGGCCUAAAGCGUCCGUAGCCGGUCCGGUAAAUCUCUGGGUAAAUCGUUGGGCUUAACUCAGCGAAUUCUGGGGAGACUGCUGGACUUGGGACCGGGAGAGGUCGGAGGUACUCCAGGGGUAGGGUGAAAUCCUGUAAUCCUUGGGGGACCACCGGUGGCGAAGGCGUCCGACCAGAACGGGUCCGACGGUAAGGGACGAAGCCCUGGGGCGCGAACCGGAUUAGAUACCCGGGUAGU